rnacentral:rRNA from 1 species
AAGGCUUUCGGGUCGUAAAGCUCUGUCCUAUGGGAAGAAGAAGUGACGGUACCAUAGGAGGAAGCCCCGGCUAACUACGUGCCAGCAGCCGCGGUAAUACGUAGGGGGCAAGCGUUAUCCGGAAUUACUGGGCGUAAAGGGUGAGUAGGCGGCCAAAUAAGCCAGAGGUGAAAGGCUAGGGCUUAACCCUAGUAAGCCUAUGGAACUGUAUGGCUUGAGUGCAGGAGAGGAGAGUGGAAUUCCUAGUGUAGCGGUGAAAUGCGUAGAUAUUAGGAGGAACACCAGUGGCGAAGGCGACUCUCUGGACUGCAACUGACGCUGAGGCACGAAAGCGUGGGGAGCAAACAGGAUUAGAUACCCUGGUAGUCCACGCCGUAAACGAUGAGUGCUAGGUGUCGGGGGUUCACACCCUCGGUGCCGGAGUUAACGCAUUAAGCACUCCGCUGGGGA